rnacentral:rRNA from 1 species
AGGGGGGUUUGAUCCUGGGGCUCAGGACGAACGUUGGCGGCGCGCUUAAUGCAUGCAAGUCGAACGAGAACCGUUCGUCUCGUAAGAGACGGGCGGGGACAGUGGCGAACGGGUGCGUAACACGUGAGAAACCUGCCCCGAAGAUCGGGAUAGCCCGGGGAAACCCGGAUUAAUACCGAAUACCCUCGUGGGGUCGCAUGACCCUAUUAGGAAAUGGUCCGCUGCUUCGGGAUGGUCUCGCGGCCUAUCAGCUAGUUGGUGAGGUAACGGCUCACCAAGGCAGCGACGGGUAGCUGGUCUGAGAGGACGAUCAGCCACACUGGGACUGAGACACGGCCCAGACUCCUACGGGAGGCAGCAGCAGGGAAUAUUGCACAAUGGCGAAAGCCUGAUGCAGCGACGCCGCGUGCGGGAUGAAGGCCUUCGGGUUGUAAACCGCUUUCAGGAGGGACGAANAUGACGGUACCUCCAGAAGAAGGCCCGGCCAACUACGUGCCAGCAGCCGCGGUAACACGUAGGGGCCAAACGUUGUCCGGAUUUAUUGGGCGUAAAGGGCUCGUAGGCGGUUUGACAAGUCGGUCGUGAAAGCCCGGGGCUCAACCCCGGGACGCCGGUCGAAACUGUCAUGACUAGGGUCCGGUUAGAGGUGAGUGGAAUUCUCGGUGUAGCGGUGAAAUGCGCAGAUAUCGAGAGGAACACCAGUUAGCGAAGGCGGCUCACUGGGCCGGUACCGACGCUGAGGAGCGAAAGCGUGGGGAGCAAACAGG